CCUACGGGUGGCAGCAGUGAGGAAUAUUGGACAAUGGGCGGAAUCCUGAACCAGCCAAUUAGCGUGCAGGAUGACGGCCCUACGGGUUGUAAACUGCUUUUAUACGGGAAUAACGAGCCUUACGUGGAGGGCUUUGCAUGUACCGUAUGAAUAAGGACCGGCUAAUUCCGGGCCAGCAGCCGCGGUAAUACGGAAGGGCCGGGCGUUAUCCGGAUUUAUUGGGUGUAAAGGGAGCGUACGCCGCAUUUCAAGCGUGCUGUGAAAGGUCCGGGCUCAACCCCGGCCUUGCAGGGGGAACUGGCGGGCUUGAGUCCGCGGAAAGCAGGCGGAAUUCGUCGUGUAGCGGUGAAAUGCUUAGAUAUGACGAAGAACCCCGAUGGCGAAGGCAGCUUGCUGCAGCGGAACUGACGCUGAGGCUCGAAAGCGCGGGGAUCGAACAGGAUUAGAUACCCGGGUAGUC
rnacentral:rRNA from 1 species